UCCCGGCGCCACAAGUGGAGAUCAUGAUUACUGGGUCUAAAACGUUCGUAGCUGGUUUGGAAAGUUUCUUGUGAAAGUCCUGUAGCUUAACUCAGGAAUUGCAAGAAAUACUACUAGACUCGAGACCGGAAGAGAUGAGAGGUAUUGUUUGGGUAGCGGUAAAAUGCAAUAAUCCUUACAAGACCAACUAAGGCGAAGGCAUCUCAUUUGGACGGAUCUGACAGUGAGGAACGAAAGCUAGGGGAGCGAACCGG
rnacentral:rRNA from 1 species